rnacentral:rRNA from 1 species
GAGCGGCCGACGUCGGAUUAGCUAGUUGGUGGGGUAAAGGCCCACCAAGGCGACGAUCCGUAGCUGGUCUGAGAGGAUGAUCAGCCACACCGGAACUGAGACACGGUCCAGACUCCUACGGGAGGCAGCAGUGGGGAAUUUUGGACAAUGGGCGAAAGCCUGAUCCAGCCAUUCCGCGUGAGUGAAGAAGGCCUUCGGGUUGUAAAGCUCUUUCGGCAGGGAAGAAACGGCGAACUCUAACAUAGUUUGCUAAUGACGGUACCUGAAGAAGAACACCGGCUAACUACGUGCCAGCAGC